CCAUGGGUACAUGAAGGACUCAAAGUGGAAAAGGAAAACGGAAGUGCAAAGAUAAAGUUAGAGAACUGUGGUGGCAAGCCGGAGUAAAUAACGAUUGACAGAUUCAGGGGUGGUUGAGACGUAGAUUGAGGUGUCCACAUACUCCCAUCUUUUGGGUAGGUACUUUGACAUUUAGUAGUCAUAUCUCCCAUCCAGAGUCACUCCGCUGACAGUCAAGUUCUAAUUACGUGUAUAUGACUAUUUGUUGUGAAAUGCUGAGAUUCACUUGUCAAAUUAUAUGUAUGUAUAUAAUGGUUAAUGAUGGCAUUAUGAAUACAUGACUGGGUUUUAUGAGUUGUUUUCAAAGGAAUUGUAAUUGAGCAUUAUGAAUUUCGGAUUCUAAAGGAAUAUGGAUUAACGUAUAAGAUCAUGUAAGUAGGCUUGCUUGGGCUCGGUGGGUUGAGCCCAUUGGUCCCUUGCACCGGUCAUGGCCUGAAAAUUGGGCUGUGACAAACUUGGUAUCAGAGCUCUAGGUUUAGUUGAAUCUUAGAGAUUCCUGUGU